rnacentral:rRNA from 1 species
CCUACGGGAGGCAGCAGUGAGGAAUAUUGGUCAAUGGACGAGAGUCUGAACCAGCCAAGUAGCGUGAAGGAUGACUGCCCUAUGGGUUGUAAACUUCUUUUAUAUGGGAAUAAAAUGUUCCACGUGUGGGAUUUUGCAUGUACUUUAUGAAUAAGGAUCGGCUAACUCCGUGCCAGCAGCCGCGGUAAUACGGAGGAUCCGAGCGUUAUCCGGAUUUAUUGGGUUUAAAGGGAGCGUAGAUGGGUUGUUAAGUCAGUUGUGAAAGUUUGCGGUUCAACCGUAAAAUUGCAAUUGAUACUGGCAGUCGUGAGUACAGUUGAGGUAGGCGGAAUUCGUGGUGUAGCGGUGAAAUGCUUAGAUAUCACGAAGAACCCCGAUUGCGAAGGCAGCUUACUAAACUGUGACUGACAUUGAUGCUCGAAAGUGUGGGUAUCAAACAGGAUUAGAUACCCUAGUAGUC